UCCCUGAUGGUCCAGUGGUUAGGACUCGGGCUUUCAGUGCCAGGGGUCUGGGUUCAAUCCCCAGUCAGGGAG